UGCCAGCCGCCGCGGUAAUACUGAAGGUGCAAGCGUUAAUCGGAAUCACUGGGCGUAAAGCGCUCGUAGGUGGCGAGGUAAGUCAGAUGUGAAAGCUCAGGGCUCAACCCUGAAAUUGCAUCCGAUACUGCCUUGCUAGAGUAAUGGAGGGGAGUCUGGAAUUCACGGUGUAGCAGUGAAAUGCGUAGAUAUCGUGAGGAACACUAGUGGCGAAGGCGAGACUCUGGACAUUUACUGACGCUCAGGCACGAAGGCUAGGGUAGCGGAGCGGAUUAGAUA
rnacentral:rRNA from 1 species